CAGUAUCAGUACAGUAUAGAGUACAGGUAUCAGAUCUCAUCAUUUUAUGUCCUGAACUUUAACUUUAAUACUUUGAAAUUUGUUACUCUAUUUAUCAAAUCCUGGAAGAAAAAUCACUUGAAGGUCUUAACAUCUGAAAAGCUUUUUGCUGUAAUUUAUACAAACCUGAUCUCCAUUUGUCAUUCAUCUGAGGAUUCAGACUAAAUCAGGAUGUUGACCACUGCAGCUCUUAUUCUCAUUGUCACCAGUAAUGUUGUCCUAGGAAUGGAUGACAGAGUGUCUGAUGAAGAAGAGAUAUAUCCAUUGGAUAUGGCAGAGAAUUCAGUUGAUGACCAGUAUGAUGGUUGUGCAGAGAAGAUGGCAAACCUGGUGAAGAAAAAAUAUUUAAACAAAGAAAUCAUUUCUAGAAUGCUUCACUUUAAAGUAGAUAAUACAAGGGAAAUUGAAGAUAACUUGAAUGCCAACCAUCUCUUAAACGUGAAGGAACAAUUAUAUUUGGAAACGAAUCUUGUUUUGAAAUCGAGACUUGUUAUGGUGCAAAUGUGACAAAAUAUUCGCUUUUUGAUGAGGCAGAGGUGCUGAUUCCCCCGUAUGAGAAAUUUAAUAUCACCGCUAUCAGAAAGAAAGGUGAGAAGGAUGCCUGGUGUAACACUGUGUUUGUGUUAAAGAGCUCUGGGAUUAAAAGUAACUUGAACUGUACAGUAGCAUCAGUCAAGCCCAAGAAAUUCAGCAUUAAAUCAAUAAUCAGUUGGUUCAAAAACCUACGUAAUAAAUAAUAAGUGUCAAAAAUCUCGCCCUUUCUUACCCUUUUCAUUCUGCAUUUUAAACUAAAAUAUGAGAUACAAGGCAUUUUAUAAACUGGAUGAAUAAAUUACACGUAACCUAUAUUCUAUUUUGUAUGUUGUUCUUAUGACAUGUGUCUUUAAGAUAAUUGAUUCUGGUCAGCGGUGACAUUUUAAGGCCUGUUUAUACUCCAAUAACAAUCGCUUAUACUAACACACAGCUUUUUUAUGUACUUUGAGUCAGCUUGACUUAUAUGACUUAUAUGUUUAAUGUAUCACUUGCUGUUUUUUAUGUUUGAAUUUGAUACAAAUGAGCUAAUAAAAUUUUCAAAUCAGGAUUUGUUUCUAAUUAUCUACUUUAGCCAAAAAUGUGACAAGUUAACAUUCAGUUAUUUUUUCAGUUAGAGUAAAGGAUAAUACAUGCCCUCUGAAUAUUUGU